rnacentral:rRNA from 1 species
UAGCGAAGGGGGCUAGCGUUGUUCGGAAUUAGCUGGGCGUAAAGGGCGCGUAGGCGUACUUCAAGUCAGGCGUGAAAGCCCCGGGCUCAACCUGGGAACCGCGCUUGAGACUGGAGAACUAGAGUUCGGGAGAGGAUGGUGGAAUUCCCAGUGUAGAGGUGAAAUUCGUAGAUAUUGGGAAGAACACCGAUGGCGAAGGCAGCCAUCUGGACCGACACUGACGCUGAGGCGCGAAAGCGUGGGGAGCAAACAGG